UUGGAAAUGGCAUUCCCAUUGGUGCAGUGGUAACAACUCCUGAGAUUGCAAAGGUCUUGACAUACCGCACUUACUUUAACACGUUUGGGGGAAACCCUGUAUGCGCUGCUGGUGGUUUAGCUGUUCUGAGAGUAAUUGAGAAGGAAAAGCUUCAGCAGAAUGCAUUCGUUGUCGGGUCAUAUCUGAAAGAGCGUCUUACUUCCCUUAAGGACAAGCACGAAAUUAUUGGGGACGUGAGGGGAAGAGGUUUGAUGCUUGGAAUUGAACUCGUAACCGACCGUCAGCUAAAAACUCCAGCAAAGGCUGAAAUUUUACAUCUUAUGGACCAGAUGAAAGAGUUGGGAGUGCUGGUCGGGAAGGGCGGGUUUCAUGGAAAUGUAUUUAGGAUCACACCUCCCCUCUGCUUCACCAAGGAAGAUGCUGAUUUUCUUGUGGACGUGAUGGACUACACACUUUCAAAGAUGUGAAGUCUACAAGGAUCAAGUGUCAAGGUCGAUUAUGCAUUAUGAUUCUCUAUUUAACCAUCAAUAUAAUGGAUUGUUUUUAUGUGUAUCUAUCUGAUCGUCUGCUGGUAAUGUAAGUUGUUCAUACACGUUCCGGUUUCUAUGGAAUAAAAUGCUCUAGUCUUGCUGGAAGCUGAUGAGACACCACCUCGUUGUCUCUCUCUUCUUUUGCAGCCUGGACUUUUCUCAUAAUCAAAUGUCAAAUUUGAUCUCAGAUAAAGACCAAUACUCAAUCUUACUUUAAAUU